rnacentral:tRNA from 1 species
AGCAGAAUGCCUGAGUAAAGGGUUAUUUUGAUAGAAUAAAUCACGUAAAAAAAAUUACUUCUGCUAU